rnacentral:rRNA from 1 species
UACAGAGGUCCCGAGCGUUGUUCGGAUUCACUGGGCGUAAAGGGUGCGUAGGCGGUCGGGUAAGUCUGACGUGAAAUCUUCAAGCUCAACUUGGAAACUGCGUCGGAUACUAUUCGGCUAGAGGAAUGGAGGGGAGACUGGAAUACUUGGUGUAGCAGUGAAAUGCGUAGAUAUCAAGUGGAACACCAGUGGCGAAGGCGAGUCUCUGGACAUUUCCUGACGCUGAGGCACGAAAGCCAGGGGAGCAAACAGG